rnacentral:rRNA from 1 species
UACGUAGGGAGCAAGCGUUAUCCGGAUUUACUGGGUGUAAAGGGCGCGUAGGCGGGAUGGCAAGUCAGAUGUGAAAUCCAGGGGCUCAACCCCUGAACUGCAUUUGAAACUGUCGUUCUUGAGUACUGGAGAGGUUGACGGAAUUCCUAGUGUAGCGGUGAAAUGCGUAGAUAUUAGGAGGAACACCAGUGGCGAAGGCGGUCAACUGGACAGCAAUUGACGCUGAGGCGCGAAAGCGUGGGGAGCAAACAGG